ACGGAGGGUGCAAGCAUUAAUCGGAUUUAUUGGGCGUAAAGGGCGCGUAGGCGGAAAUGUAAGUCAGAUGUGAAAUCCCGGGGCUCACCCCCGGAACAGCAUUUGAAACUACAUUCCUUGAGGGUAGGCGGAGAAAACGGAAUUCCACAAGUAGCGGUGAAAUGCGUAGAUAUGUGGAAGAACACCAGUGGCGAAGGCGGUUUUCUAGCUUAUUCCUGACGCUGAGGCGCGAGAGCAAGGGGAUCAAACAG
rnacentral:rRNA from 1 species